AAAUGCAGUGAACUUCAUAUCAAAGGAGAUAACAUGGACUUUGAACAAUGAAGGCUCCUGAGUUAUAAUUAUAAUGUAAUGUUAUUUUCACCUUCAUGUCUUUGUAUACUUUGAUAUUUAUUGAGAAAAGUCCUUCUGGACUAUAACAAAUUCAUGCAGUUCCAUGACGUUUCUGCUUAUUCUUAGAUAAUUAAAAGUUCUGCAGUGACUUUAAGGCACCAAAUACUCCUCCAAUAUAGAUACUAGAAUGUUUGUAUCCAUAUAAUAGCAAAAAACAAAACAACAACAACAACAACAAAAACUCAAUAGCUAGGGCCACUGUAGAUAGGAGUGUCUGUAAAAAUGAAGGGAUGAGAUCAAUGGAAUUUUUCUCCUCUUUUGAAUUCAAUUCAAUUUAAUUUAUUCAAUUCAAUUCAAUUAAUUUAUUUAUUUAUGUGUGUGUGUGUCCACAUGUUGGGGCAUGGUGUUCAUAAGGAGGUUAGUGCACAAUGGUUCUCUCCUUCUACCACCUGGCAUUCAGGGAUUAAACUCAGAUCUUCAAGUUUGGCAGCAAGCAUCCUUAUUCACCGGCCCAGUCUCUUCUUGAUCAAUUAUCCCUUUCUAGCUCUCAGUCGGAAUUGGAAACCAUCUGGAGUCAGAGCAAGCAGGGGAUAAGCUGAGAGGAAGAGGGAGAUGUGUACUGUUAAACUACGAUAGGCGACUAUGGCCUCUAAGUCACCCUGCGUUCUCUUAGGAACUGUGGAGGGUCUUUGAGACGUCCUCUGUAUUAAUCACCGUUUCCCCCUCGUGGCUGUGUAAAGUGAACCCAAGGAAGAAAGAUUGUCUACUGGCUUACAGUCCGUCAUGGUGAGGAAGGCAUGGUUGUUGGCUAUGGCUGGUCAUGUUGUGUCCAUAGUUUGGAAGCAGAGAGAGAAGAGCGCCCAUGCUCAGCUUGCUGUCUUCUUUUUAAUCCAGUCUGGCUUCCUGGUCUCUGGGAUGGUGUCCUGCAUUCAGGGUGGGUCUUCUCUAGUCACACCCUCACAGACACACCCAGACACAAGUAGCCUAGGUGAUACUAAUCUGAUCAAGUUUAUGGUGGAAUUUAACCGUUCCCUCUGGUUUACCCCGUAGCUCUCUUGUGCAGGUCAUCACUCCUUUGUCACCGUGUCCACACGUUCACACUGCUUCUCCAGAUAACAGGAAGCAUCUCAGAGUUUCUGCCGAGGACUGCUCAUCUUUGGAGGUGAAACUUUUCAUCAGAAACCACUAAGGCUUCACUGUUCUCUCUCAAACCACUACCUUGGUGAGAAUUCAUAGGUCAGUUCCAAGAUUGAAGAAACAUCUCCCCUUUCCAUGGUAGAAGCAGCCAGCUAGCCAGUCUCUCCUCUCCUUUAAGAUUUCCUGUCUGGAGUCCAGUGUAGGUAUUCUAUUCACUCUUCCCAAAGUCUCUUUGGACAAUUUGAAAGGAGAGACAGGCACCUCUGACCCAUCUCCAUGACCCCAGAAAGCAGCAAGGCUCAUGGUACAUCCAUAUUUCUUUUCUAAAUAUAUCUUCCGAAAUCUUCAAUUUCUAAAAGUCAGAUUGCUUUAUACCCUUGGUAUGUAUGUAGAUGAGAACUUGAGUCCAGAAAGAAGUUUUUGGAUCCCCCCCCCCUUAAACAUAUAUAGCUAAUUCUGGUGUCAUGGUGUCUCAGGCAAAGGUUUCAAUUUAUAAUCUCAUUAUAGAGUUCAUGUUGAUUUUUAUGUGGCCACAGAUGAAGAGAAGGUCCACGAAGCCACAUUUUGAGACAAGUGCACUCGUGUCUCUGACAUUCAUUUCUUAAAGUAGAUGAUCUUGUGGGAACCAACAAAUUUGACUUGGGACAAUCAGAAAUUCCUGUGGCUUCUCCCUUGGCCUGAUAAUGAAGAGAUGGAUUUCCUAGGCUAGAGAGCACAGUGGUGAGUUCUCAGCCUUCCCUGGCAGAGCACAUCCAGAAAGCCAGGGACACUCUCGCUCUUCCUCUUCACACUUGUACAUGAGGCCGACUCUCCUAAAAUUAAGUGUAGUUGAGCAACAAGGAAUCUCAGAAGUUUGUUGCUGUUCCUUCGUGCCUGGAUAUUUUUGAGGACUCUCAUCCUAGCACUGGGGAGAGGAGCAAGCUUAUGGAGGCUUUCUUGAUGUUAGUAUGGCUGAAGUAAGGCCUUGAAGAGCUAGAGGAAAAAGCAGGUAUAGAGAGAGGAGUUAGCAACAGCAUUCUACCAGGUGGGGUAGAGCUGCCUGGGCUGGAUGCCCACUUCUUCAAAUGGAUGAGUCCAUUUGAUGUAGCUCGGCUGUCAUGUCGUCCAGCUGUUUUUAUGUCUGGGUGUUGAGUCUCUUCUCCAAACUUGGCUGCUACUCUGCAAGGUUAAAAUCUACCUGCAUCUUCUACCACCCACAUUGAGUCUUGUGCAGGUCACCGGACACAGUAGGGGCUGGGUUAAUGUUGACUGAGUGGCUGAAGCCCAGUGAGCUCCAUUAGAAGCAGUUGCUGGCAAACGUCAUUACAUUCAGUUCUGCUAAAGCCACAAGUGUUCACCAAGGGCUUUCUAGGUGCCUGGCACCACACAGAGCCAUUACCUAAUUAUUUUGAUCUGAAUCCAAUGGGGAGCUCAAAAUUAAUUCUUCAGGCGAACCUGUUUUAAUGCCUGAUUGUUAUGGAAAAAUGUAUUGGAAAAAAGUGAAGAUAAAAUGGAAAAGGUACCCACAGCACCACUGUCCAUAUUUCCACAGCCCCACUGUCCAUAUUUUCUUAAAUAUCUUUCAAGCACAUAUGUAAUUGAACUCACUUUUAUACUAAAGUUUGUUUUAUUCAUUUCAUUUCUCAUAUUUGAAAAUUGAUCCCAAAUAUUCUUUUGAUUCUUUAUCCAAAAUUUCCUAUCUUCAUAAUAUACACUACACACUCACUAUAGAAAAUAUAAAAAAAUAGAAGAGUGUAGAUAACUGGCUAAAUGACAUAAAAAUCUUUCCAAGGUUUAGAUGCUAAAUUGAUUUCCUUCAGGUCUUUUUUUUUUUUUCUAUGAAUUUGUAUGUAGUUUACAAUACUAUCACUUGGUGUAUAUAGUUUAUUUUUAAAGAUUUAUUUUGUGUGUGUGUGCACACUCACUGUGUGUGUGUGUGCAACAUGAAUGCAGGUGCCCAGAAGGUCAAGCAAGGGCAUUGGAUCCCUUGGAGCUGGAGUUACAGAUGGCUGUGAACCACUUAAUCUAAGCGUUGGGAAGCUGACUUGCAUCUUCUGCAAGAGCAGCAAGUGCUCUUAACCACAGAGCACCUUCUCCAGUUCCCAACAUAUGUAUUAAAUGCAAUUUUAGUUCUAGUGACAUAAUAUUCUAUUUGCCACUGAAAGUAAAUGCCAAGAACAGAAGGACCUGUGCUGAAGAAUAGCUCUGUUGUCCCCUUGCCUGUCUCCAGUCCUGACACCCAGAGGCAGUGACUAUGAGCACUUCUGAUACUUUCCUCUGGGGUUAUGCAAGUCUCCAUCUUCAGAUGACCUAGGUCUGCCACUAUUUCCUGCUUGUCUGUGCUGGACAUUUAUCUGCUAUACUUCCUGCCUCCAAGGCUACUUUUAGUGUCAGCGGUACACUGUAUCAACUCAGUGUUGUUUCCUCAGCUUCGUACUGUUGUGUGCUCCACAUGGGGGACAUUGACACCCCUACACCACAUCUCUUCAUCCUUUCAUAGCCUCCCGAUCAACUUAGGUCAUGUUACUCUGAGUUCUCCAGUGUCAGCCUUCACAUGGUGUCCUGGAACAUUUGGGCCUUCCACUUUCCUAUGCGUUCAUCUGGGUAGUAAGAGCCAACAAAGAGCACCUACUUUCCCGACUCUGUUAGUCUACCAAGGACACGCAUGCUAUCUUAAAAACUGCUCUCUGUUUUGAUUGACUGUCCAUACUCUGUUUUCUUCUUUUUACC
rnacentral:lncRNA from 1 species